rnacentral:ncRNA from 2 species
UAAAUAAUGGAAAAUAAAGGUGCUAAGUACUGCGAGUACAGCUUAAAAGGGAAGCAGGUAAAAGUCCUGCACGGUCCCGCCACUGUAAUGGGGAGAUGUUUCAUAUAGGCCACUGGUACAUACCGGGAAGGCGUGAAGCAUUAAUGAACCAGAGUCAGAAGACCUGCCUUUGUUUAAUGAACCAA